rnacentral:rRNA from 1 species
UGGGGAAUAUUGCACAAUGGGCGCAAGCCUGAUGCAGCCAUGCCGCGGGUGUGAAGAAGGCCUUCGGGUUGUAAAGCACUCUCAGCGGGGAGGAAGGCGGUGAGGUUAAUAACCUCAUCGAUUGACGUUACCCGCAGAAGAAGCACCGGCUAACUCCGUGCCAGCAGCCGCGGUAAUACGGAGGGUGCAAGCGUUAAUCGGAAUUACUGGGCGUAAAGCGCACGCAGGCGGUUUGUUAAGUCAGAUGUGAAAUCCCCGGGCUCAACCUGGGAACUGCGUCUGAUACUGGCAAGCUUGAGUCUCGUAGAGGGGGGUAGAAUUCCAGGUGUAGCGGUGAAAUGCGUAGAGAUCUGGAGGAAUACCGGUGGCGAAGGCGGCCCCCUGGACGAAGACUGACGCUCAGGUGCGAAAGCGUGGGGAGCAAACAGG